UCCCUUCUUCUUCCUCACGUUUUCCCGAGCCGCCAGACCCCUCCUGAAGUUUUUUUUUUCUUUUCUCCUUUCGCCGACCGUCGCCGCUUGGUUUGUGAAGCCACCAGCCGUCCGGACCUCCAGCCAGACGUCGACGUUCCCUUGUCCUAAUCCCUCGUGAAACCCGUCGGUCGCUCCCUGUCCGAAGCCGUCGCUCGUCGAGCCCUAGCGCCGCUCGCUGUCCAGCAUCUCCGGUCGUCGCAGCCGUCGGUCACUUCUGCUCACCAUUUCGGAAGUCGCACAGGCCUUCAUGCGCAAACAAGCCCAGCCGAGCGACGCCACCGCUUCCAGCUUCAACCCCCAGCCGCUGCCUUCACGCCUAGCCGCCGCGCCGUUUCUUCUAGACGCCGCCAUCGUCACCGCCCAGCCCCGUUCGUCGCCGAAUCUGUCGUGCAUCACCGGAAUUUUGUUUUGAACUCAAGGAUUGGAGAUUUUGAGACAGUUGCCAUGGAAUUCGAGACCAAUUUCGGUGAAAAUUGUUGAAGUUUUGUUUGGCCAACAGAAUUGAGUUUUGGAGUUAAUUUAGGGCCAAGCCACAAUUUUGGUCUUGUUUCAAGGUCUUGCUUGGUAAAGGGAAGAUAAGCUUACUUGGGUUAUUUGGAUUUAAUUUUGAGGUAAGAGUAAGGACGCACUGGCGAGUGACAAACAGAAUCCAUGAUCGAGCCACUAGGACCAAUUUUAUGCUUCCGCUCAUGAUGUUUAGAUUUCUUUCAUGUUUUUCCACUUUCAGUCUUCAUGUUUGAAACUUACUAAUUAGUAUUCGUUUCCAAACUUUUACAGUUUUCUAGACUCAUUAAAUUUCUAAUUAUGAUUUAUGGGUACUCUGUUAUUUGACUUUUAUUUAGUUUUAAUGAAAAUAUUUUAUUUGAUUUUAUUUAUUUAGCAUUUAUUUCUCUAUAAAAAUGUAUCAUUUUAAA